rnacentral:rRNA from 1 species
UACGUAGGGACCAAGCGUUGUUCGGAUUUACUGGGCGUAAAGGGCGCGUAGGCGGCAAUUCAAGUCAGCUGUGAAAUCUCCGGCUCAACUCGGAGACGCCACUCGAUACUGCCAUGACUCGAGUCCGGUAGGGGAGUGCGGAAUUCCUGGUGUAGCGGUGAAAUGCGCAGAUAUCAGGAGGAACACCGGUGGCGAAGGCGGCACUCUGGGCCGGUACUGACGCUGAGGAGCGAAAGCGUGGGGAGCGAACAGG